CGGGGAUGAAACGUUUGCCGCCGAAUACGUCACUCCCAUUUCUUGCGAGAUGGUCUGACUGCUUCAUUUUCUCUGGCGGUUGCUUCGGUCUAAUGGACCGCGGUCGUCCGGCGGCAAGACGCUUUUAAAUACAAGGCUACUCUCAAAAUCGACCGGCCAUGUUGGUUUGGACACACAUUCGCAUCAGUUCGUCGCUCAAUCGCGAGUUACAGCCUGCAGUUUGCUAGCUAGCAAAGUCAUCGACUACCAUCGUUUAAAUACCUUAACCGGUUAUGCUCUGGCCAUCUUCACCCAAGAGACCUACUGUUGGUCAAUUGUUUUGGCUUUAAAGGUAAAUGCAUUGUUAGUCACACUGUCUAGUCACUGGGCCAAAAGGAAAAUAAUAUUGAAAAGAGUUGAGAGGGACAAACAGGACAUUCACUUGAAUCACUACAUGCUACAGAAGUUGCAUCGAUUCCAGAAAACCAGGAAAAUGUUGAGCCAUCUGUAGACUUCAGAGCUGAACCAGGUUUCUCCCCAGUAAUCCAGACUCCACUUCACAGAGCCAAGAGUUUGAGUACAACUCGUCAAGUACUAAGCUUUACACCACCAGCAGCAAAUUUACACUGGCAGCAUAUGGGUGAAAACGCUGGAUGCAUGAGAAAGUAAUCACUUUGUUAUUGGCCCUUGGACGCCCCUGGCAUCUCGUGUACAGCACAAAGUUUUCAGCUAUGAAGAUUUCCAGAGACUCCAGAAUGAAAACCAAGCCCUGAGGGAAUGCAAUGCACAAGCAGCUUCGGAUGACAGCGGCUCACUUCAAGAGCAAGUGAAGCAAGUAGGGACAAUGUUGAAGACGUUUGCUCUCACUGGGCAAUCAGGUGCGUUACCUAAAAGGAGCAUCGGACCGUGAAGGCAGAAAAAGGCGCCGCACAGCUGAGAAGGACCCACAGCCGACCCCUAAACCUAGGCUACUGACACCCCAGCAUCACUGAACUGGAACACUUUCUUUAUCCUGCAGUCAGUAACAUCAAGAAGCCAGAAGUGCCAGACUACACUCACCAAAUCCACCCUGUUUUUUUUGGUAUUUUAACUUUAGUAUUGGCUUAUUUCAUUCCGUCUUAACGAUUCUAUUAUAGUUUGUAAAUCCUUUUUCAUACCUGUUACUUGAUAUUGCACAUUAACUAGUACCAAAAUUCUACUUUCAUUUCAUCAGUGUGCUUAACUGUUAUUCUAUUAAUAAUAGCUUGGAAAUACUAUUUCAUACCUCUGAUACUUGAUAUUGCACAUUACCUGGUACCAAAUAUUCUACUUACUCUGUUUUUAACAUCAGCAUUUUUCAUUCCGUCACAGUGCUUAACUGUUAUUCUAUUGUUAAAUAUAGCUUGUAAAUCCUUGUGCCACAGGUCAGCAUUGCAUUUAUAAUGGUCUGUUCUACUACUGUUUUUACCUCCGUAUUUUUAUAUAAAUAUAUAUGUCAAGUUUUGUUUAUCACAGAUACAAGAGACAGAUCUUAUUGCAGCACGGUGUAAAUCUUGUGCUACAGGUCAGCAAUGCCAUUAUAAUGGUAUAUUCUACUCUAGAGCUUUACUCUAAAUUAUUACCACUUUUCCUAUUGUUAGAAAUGGCUUGAAAAUGUGAUGUUAUACCUCGAUUUAUUUGGUAUCCUGCAUGUUCUUUGGUACCAAAUAUCCUCAUUACUUGUUAUGUUUACUGGUAAUUAUUUUCAUCCCAGAGCUGACCUUUUUAUAUUAUUAACAAUUAUUGUGUUUGUGUUAUAAUUUGCUCGUAUUGCUGUUUUUUUUUAACCAAAAUUUAAUUGGAAACCUGCAUGUUCUGUAGUGUGUAUUUAUAUGUAUAUUUUUUUCUGCCUGUUAUUUAUUUCAGUGAUCUGACACAUCUUGUUUGAAUGACAGUUACUGUACUUUGAAAUGUGGAAUUAAAACACC
ensembl:lncRNA